CAGUCGCCGCGGUAAAACGUAGGUGGCGAGCGUUGUCCGGAAUUAUUGGGCGUAAAGGGCUCGCAGGCGGUUUCUUAAGUCUGAUGUGAAAGCCCCCGGCUCAACCGGGGAGGGUCAUUGGAAACUGGGAAACUUGAGUGCAGAAGAGGAGAGUGGAAUUCCACGUGUAGCGGUGAAAUGCGUAGAGAUGUGGAGGAACACCAGUGGCGAAGGCGACUCUCUGGUCUGUAACUGACGCUGAGGAGCGAAAGCGUGGGGAGCGAACAGGAUUAGAUACCCGUGUAGUCCCUGUCUCUUAUAC
rnacentral:rRNA from 1 species